GACGAACGCUGGCGGCGUGCUUAACACAUGCAAGUCGAACGGAAAGGCCCUUCGGGGUACUCGAGUGGCGAACGGGUGAGUAACACGUGGGUGAUCUGCCCUGCACUUUGGGGUAAGCCUGGGAAACUGGGUCUAAUACCGAAUAGGACCACGCGCUUCAUGGUGUGUGGUGGAAAGCUUUUGCGGCGUGGGAUGGGCCCGCGGCCUAUCAGCUUGUUGGUGGGGUAAUGGCCUACCAAGGCGACGACGGGUAGCCGGCCUGAGAGGGUGACCGGCCACACUGGGACUGAGAUACGGCCCAGACUCCUACGGGAGGCAGCAGUGGGGAAUAUUGCACAAUGGGCGCAAGCCUGAUGCAGCGACGCCGCGUGAGGGAUGACGGCCUUCGGGUUGUAAACCUCUUUCAAUAGGGACGAAGCGCAAGUGACGGUACCUAUAGAAGAAGCACCGGCCAACUACGUGCCAGCAGCCGCGGUAAUACGUAGGGUGCGAGCGUUGUCCGGAAUUACUGGGCGUAAAGAGCUCGUAGGUGGUUUGUCGCGUUGUUCGUGAAAACUCACAGCUUAACUGUGGGCGUGCGGGCGAUACGGGCAGACUAGAGUACUGCAGGGGAGACUGGAAUUCCUGGUGUAGCGGUGGAAUGCGCAGAUAUCAGGAGGAACACCGGUGGCGAAGGCGGGUCUCUGGGCAGUAACUGACGCUGAGGAGCGAAAGCGUGGGGAGCGAACAGGAUUAGAUACCCUGGUAGUCCACGCCGUAAACGGUGGGUACUAGGUGUGGGUUCCUUCCUUGGGAUCCGUGCCGUAGCUAACGCAUUAAGUACCCCGCCUGGGGAGUACGGCCGCAAGGCUAAAACUCAAAGGAAUUGACGGGGGCCCGCACAAGCGGCGGAGCAUGUGGAUUAAUUCGAUGCAACGCGAAGAACCUUACCUGGGUUUGACAUGCACAGGACGCCGGCAGAGAUGUCGGUUCCCUUGUGGCCUGUGUGCAGGUGGUGCAUGGCUGUCGUCAGCUCGUGUCGUGAGAUGUUGGGUUAAGUCCCGCAACGAGCGCAACCCUUGUCCUAUGUUGCCAGCGGGUUAUGCCGGGGACUCGUAGGAGACUGCCGGGGUCAACUCGGAGGAAGGUGGGGAUGACGUCAAGUCAUCAUGCCCCUUAUGUCCAGGGCUUCACACAUGCUACAAUGGCCGGUACAAAGGGCUGCGAUGCCGUGAGGUGGAGCGAAUCCUUUCAAAGCCGGUCUCAGUUCGGAUCGGGGUCUGCAACUCGACCCCGUGAAGUCGGAGUCGCUAGUAAUCGCAGAUCAGCAACGCUGCGGUGAAUACGUUCCCGGGCCU
rnacentral:rRNA from 1 species